rnacentral:rRNA from 1 species
UACGUAGGGUGCGAGCGUUGUCCGGAAUUAUUGGGCGUAAAGAGCUCGUAGGCGGUUUGUCGCGUCGACUGUGAAAACCUACAGCUUAACUGUGGGCUUGCAGUCGAUACGGGCAGACUUGAGUUCGGUAGGGGAGACUGGAAUUCCUGGUGUAGCGGUGAAAUGCACAGAUAUCAGGAGGAACACCGGUGGCGAAGGCGGGUCUCUGGGCCGAUACUGACGCUGAGGAGCAAAAGCGUGGGGAGCGAACAGG